rnacentral:lncRNA from 1 species
CAUUUUUGUAUAUCAAAUUUAAGCAUUGUUAGACUUAUAUGAUUUUUGAGUUACAUGGGAAUUGUUUGAACAAACUGAUUGCAUAAACCAGAGACCUGCUAUAUAGAAUGAAAAUAUUUUUUUCAAUUUAAUUAUCUUAUUUAUUUUAUUAAGGUGCUGGAAAAGGUAAAGAUAUGUCUAACAUCACUCAAGUUGAAGAAGAAGAAGAUAUUCCAGUAGUUAAAAGAAAACGGAAAAAACAUCAUCGACGAUUAAAUGAUUUAAAUACAACAACAGAAGAAGAAGAAGAUACAGAUGAUGAUUAUAAGGGUAGCAGGUCUGUUCUUUAUUUAUUUAUUUAUUUUUCAACUCUCAAUUUUCAGUUUAAUUUUAAUUAUUCC